UAUAUUUUCGUUUCUGAUGGGAUACAACAAUUGUCCUAAUCUCAUGAGGCAUUUAUUGCUCAAGAAUCAAUGGUUGUGUGUAAAUAUUGAAAAAUUCGAUGUAGUUGAAGUUGAUGUAGAAUUUGCAGAUUGACCCUUCAAAUAAUAAAAUGUAUAAAUGUCUCAAGAGCAUAGCACACCUGUCCUACUGUUCUACUGUACCAGGACUACAUUCCAAACUAUUUGAGUAGCAAUUGAAUAACACAUUGUUAUAUCAAAGCAAUGAAACAUAAAACAUUACGUUUUGUCAUACAUUUGGAAUUUCAAUUUCAAUAGGAAAUAUACAUGUUAAAGCUGAUAUACUGUACCAUAAUUACACUGUAUCUCUAACUUUCAUUAAUUUGAUUCCCUAAAGCCAUACUGUAACGGAUAAACAUAAAUCACAUAGGAGUCAGUCUACCACUGUGGGAAAAGCACCGGGUUCAGUAAUCACUGUUGGCAGUGAAAGUCAAGGAGAAACACCUUGUAAAUGAAUCCCUGAGAACAGCCACUUUCACAUUGACCGACUCUCUCUCUCUCCCUUCCUCUCCCCCUCUACCCCCCUCUCCCCUCUAGCCUCCCUGCAGUGAAGGUUGCGAGAGCACCACUCCCCCUCACUCAUCCCUCCCCCUUCCUCAACCCUCCUCCCCCUGGCCAGGACCCACCCAGCGAGAGCUGUCACUCCUCCAGUGUGUCAGAGUAAUUUACUGUGACAACAAACAACUGGCCACACCACAGAACAGCCCAUGAUGCUUCACAUCAAACUGAGAGAGAGAGUUCCCAAUUAAUCCAGAGAAUGCCAGACUUUGAUGACAAAAUCUGGCCACGAAGGACCGACGGGCCACCUUCCUAUUCAAGUGAGCACAGCACAACAAGCAAGUACCACUUCCUCCCGAUUCAGCACAUACCUGCCGCCAACUCGGGACCUCUGCCUUGCUAGCACACGUGACCGCCCUCCUGAAGCGUCUUAACAGACGGCGCCACGCUAAAAGCUAGCUAUUCGCUGGUGAAAGUGGAGACACUAGGCUGAGGACUCUCCCUUCUCUUGGAUUGAGCCUGUUCAGGUCGUAAAAGGGGCCCAGAAAGAGGAGGACGUCGAACCCAGACACCAAGACGGACCCCUGGCCUCCCCCUCCACCGGCUAGACUCCAGACUGCAGACACCCCUGCCUGGACCAGCACCUACCAGACACAGACAAUACAAGAGCAGCUCACUUUCACAGCUUUGAUUUACAGAGUUAUAUAAAGGCCAGAGGCCACCUUCAUAUAAGACUGCCCAAUCUCAUAACCUCACUGCCCAACCUUUUAACCAUGUAAAAAUAUCAAUGUAAUGUAAUGCAACCUCAGUCACUCGCUCAAUACAGUCCACUCUAUGGGGAACAAAGCUUAUAUCUCUAUAGAGUGAGUCGUGUCUCACUCAGUCCUUCAGAGAAUCUUGGUUACCAUGAAUCUACCCUACCCUCAUAAGAACGAUUCACUCUUACUGACCAUAGAGAUAUACACUGAGUAUACCAAACAUUAGGAAUACCUUCCUAGUAUUCUAGGGUAGUGUAAUAGUUGUGUAACAGUGUGUAACGCCAAUUUAAGUAAGUUGUGGGCUAUUCUGGAUCAGAUCAGGCUUACUUUACUGUGAAGACAGAGUAAGGUUUGUUUGAAGCCUGUUGUGGGAUAAAAAGGGAGUUAUGUAAACUGUGGAUUAGGGUCGUUUUGUAGAGGGAUAUACCCCCCAGAUAGAGAUUGGAAUUUGGUUUUGGACUGGUUCUGUGGGCCUGUUUUUCACAGGCUUACCUGCACAUGCUAAUAUGUCUGCAUACCAAAUGAGCAUCCUAUAUUCCCUACAUAGUGCACUACUUUGACAUAAUACAAGUAAAACCCUCUCUGUGAUUCUCUAUCCCUCUCUCCCUACAUCCCUCUUUCCUUCUCACGCACAUUCCUCUUGCUAACUCCCUCCCUCUCUCUCUCCAUCACUAUCUAUUCUGUCUGUCUCUGGGUGCCUCAGCUGAGUAGCUCAGUUGCUGCAAUGCUACAUGAUCUGGUUUUCAAUGCUAUAGCAGAGCUGCUAGUUAGAGGGGGAAGGAAAAAACACUGUGCUGUGUUAUGGGAACUCAGGCUAGACAGACAGUUAUCUACAAGCCCAGGAUCCACCAUAGAGAGAGAGUAUAUUUUCUUCCCUAUAAUGCCUCCCCCCAAGUAGACUUUCUUCAACACACCACCAUCUCCCUCCUCAAACUCAUCCUUGAUCUUCUCCCCGUUUCUGGGCCAAAGAGCCACCCUGUACCCCCGCACCCCCCUUCCCAUCCCGCCCUUUGCAUCCCAAAGCCCCCCUGUCUCCUCCACCCUUCCUUCCCCUUUCCUCAUUCUGCAACCCAAAGCCAUGCUGUACUCCCUUUCCUUCCACCCCCCUUCUGCACCCCAAAGUCACCCUGCACUCCCAUCCCAUCCCCCUCUUCUGCACCCCUUUGCCCCCCUCCUCCUCAGUGCCAUGUUCUCUCCGUUCAUCUGCCAGUAUCCUUCCUGUCUGUGGGGCCAAUGGGGUCAGCAGUUUGAUAAACACAUAAAGCAGCCUUGGUACACCAUGAAGGCCCCUGAUGGCCCCUGGUGGCCCAUGACACUAGUUCCCACAGCCCGCCUGUCUGUCACAACUGACUGACAACAGUCACCCCAACCCCUCUUCACACCCCUCCCACCCCUUUAUCCCCAUCCCUGCCCCCCACCCUGGACAGUUGGCAAUCCGUUAGAGAAGGGAUGGGCGUCUCUUUCUCUCCCUCUCUCCCUCACUCUCGAUCUUCUCCCCCUUUCUGGCCCCCAGAGCCACCCUGAAGAGCCAAAAAGAAAUCAUAUAAUUCUGGAUCCUAUUUUAACAUCAAAAUAUCAAUCAUGUAUUUCCUGGAUAUGUUAGAUGAAAUAGCUUACUUUUUUAAUCAUAGGCUCCCAUCUCAGUUGUCUUACUUGGUACUGGAUUUAUUUUUUGUCUAGA